UAGCUUUGACAGCUGAGAGACUAAAAUUAGAACACAGAUUAUCUUGGUUCUUGUACCAGGAUGACAUGCAAAUUCAUGAAAGCAUCCUGUAUUUU
rnacentral:snRNA from 1 species